GUUUAACAGUCUAGAAAUGUGGGCAGAUUCUGAGGUACUAUCAUCAAAGAUUUGGAUUUUAUGGCUGAGGUCAUUUCCUUCAUCUCAUUAUGUCUCUCUUGCUACCACUUUAAUCCCUCUUCCUACCUCAUAGCCAGAUUUUUAUAGAGUUGUCUACAGUGUUUGCAUCUCUUCACUGCCCACUUACCCUACUCCAGUCUGACUUCAGUCCCAUCACCCCCAGUUUACGCCAAUGCGGCCAUGACUCCCACUUUGCUGUAUUCAGUUUUUCCGUUCUCAUUUUACUUGGCUUGUCAGCAGCAUGUGACUCUGUUGUCCUUGCCUUCCUUCUUGAAACUCUACUCUGUUGGCCUCCCUGACCACAUUUUCUCUUAGUCAUGGCCCUACUUAUCUGGAAGCUCUGUCUUACGGUUCUUUGCCGGCUUAUGUUCUAUCAGUUCUAGGUUCUAGAAUUCCUCUUUUCUCACUCAUUUUCUCUCUAGAUAAGUUAUCCAUGCUGUUGGCUUUCACAACUAUCUCUACGUCGGUAACUUCUAGAAUGUAUGUAUAUGUACAGCCUAGACCUGUGCUUUGAGCUUCAGACCCAUAGUCUCACCGUGAACCUGACAACUUCAGUUGAUGACGAGAGCCACUUCAAGAAAAAUGAUCUUCCUUAUCCCACAUCACAGAUGUCUCCGUAGCUACAGACUCCACCAGCAGAAUAACAAGAGGAUUCUCAAGAUUAUGCUGCGUCUGUUCAUUUUUUUUUUUUUUUUAAAGCUUGCCUGUGGAGAGUUGAAAGAGCCAAUGUCUUUGUUGUACAUCGUGUGAUUUUAUUUGGGCAAAUUAGGUGAUUCUCCCCAUCCCCCCCAACAAUGUUGGUCAAUGUAACAGGCUCCCAGAGUGCAACAAAAUAGAAAUUCAUUUUUAAUUCAUGUCUGAUGCAGAAGGCACAGAGGCAGAAAUACAGAUCACUAUUUUCUUUAAAAAAGAAAUCACCAUCUGCUUUGUGGAGGGAGGAAUAUUCAGGCCCCAUCUAAUUACAGCAAGUAUUUUCAGUUUAGGAUCUUUUGACCACAAAUUACCCUCAGUUUUUCUUUAAAGGGAAUAUGAGGGUUUGGCAAUGAACAGAAAAGCAAAAUGGCAAUAGAGGCAUGUUUUUGUCUAAAAUUUUUAAUAAGGUAAAAUUGGAUUUAAGAGCUAGCCCUACAGAAAACGGUGUUAAAAACAAAGUAAACAGUAAAGGAUUAAAAAUCUUUGUAUAAUCCCCACAAUUUCCUUAAGGAUUUAACUUAGUAGCUUCACUCUUUAUGAAUUUGUAUGAAAAUGGUGCAUUGAUUUUACAGAAUGAUUUCAGAGCAAUUUCCUCACUUGGGUCACUUUAUUUCAUUGCUUAAAGUGUUCUCUAAGAUCAUGAGGCACAUUGGGAAGACGGGUUUAACUUUUAGGCCAAUCAAGGACCAUUGAGAUGAAGUGAACUACUGUAUGUGCAAGGACUUUGAAAAGUACAAAACCCCUAUAAAUGCAAAAAGGUUUCACUGCUAUUAAAUAACUGACGGAAGAGUUAGGGUGGCUUUUCCAAACACUCUCACUUGCAACCACUGAAUAACAAAUCUCCAGAUGAAAAAAAAUGACAAAUGUUCCUAUCACAGUGUUCAUUGCUAAGAGGUGACUUCAGACUUCACAAUGCCGUCCAACCUCCAUAAGGUUUGAAACCUUUGCAAGAAUUGUGAGAUUAUAGCUAAAAGCCAUUAGUCCUUGAACAAGAAUAUUUUGAGUAGCUGUUUCACUUUGUCAUAAUGGAGUUUAUUUCAUUUGAUUUUCCCAGUGGGUUUAAGUAUUGGGUAAUGUAAUGCAGCUUGUUUUUUUGGGGGGGGGGAGGGGAAACACAAUCUAAAAUUCCCAUGUAGCUGGGCAUCAACAUCCCAAAGCUACUUAAUUAAGACAUAGGAGACCUUGGUUGCUAAUAAUAUUAAGGUUAGCAUUUUGAUGGUGGUUAUGGGCAGGACUGGUCUUUUAAAAACUGAGGGGACCCAUAAACAAAUUGUAAUCAUAUCACUCAAACUCAGAAAAUCCCUAAGGCUACAUUUAUAUUCAGUGUUACCCAAAAUGUUGCAUUGAAUUUACUCCUAUUAUGGGCUGAAUUAUGUCCCCUCCAAAAUUCGUAUGUUGCAGUCCUAACCCCCAGUACCUUAGAAUGGGAUGUAACGCAUUCAGGAAUAAGGUCUUAACAGAGGUAAUAAAGCUAAAAUGAAGUUAUUAGUGUAGAUCCUAAUCCAUUAUGACUGAUAUCCUUAUAAGAGGGAAUUUGGGUAUAGACACCUACAGAGAGAGUUCAGCCUCCAGGCUGCCUCCAGACUUCAGCUGCAACAUUAAUUCUUCCCUGGGUCUCUGACCUGCUGACCUGUCCUACAGAUUUCAGAUUGCCAGCCCUCAAAAUUUUGUAAGUUAGCUUCUUAAAAUGAAUCUCUCUGUAUAUAAAUAUACACACAUCCUAUUCUGCUUCUCUGGAGAACCCUAAUACAAUUACCUAUAGACGUACCCUAAAAGCUAUGAGUACAAACUACCUCUAAAUUAUAUAUUCAAGUUCAGCGGCUGAGUUUUGGAGUCACAAUGAUGAGUUCAAAUUUGGGCUUUGCUAAUUUUUUUUUUUUUUUUUACCAAUAUGUCUUUGACUACACCAUUUAGCCUCUCUGUUUCCUCUUCCUAAAAUGGAAAUAACUGGGCCUCAGUGAGAAUUUCAUGAAUAAAAAGUUUUUAAAACAUUUAUCAGAAUAUUUUAUCACAUCAUAGACACUCAAAAUAUGGUAGUUAUAAUGAUCAUUAUUGCUAUUAUUUAUAUAUUGUUUCAGUGAUGAUUCUUAAUUGUGGACCACAGAAUUGAUAAGGUUAGUUUAAACUAAAAGGAAUGUAUUGAAAGAUGUUAGGAAGCUUCCAGAUUGCCUAAGUAUCAGAGAACGAGAUUGAGUUUGCAAAUCCAGAAAGCAUUGCCAAAAUAGAUGCCAAAGAACUGGUCCCAUGAGACCCUGCUGCUAGUGUCCAGGUUAUUUCUUCUAUCAUUAACAACAUUGUGGCUGGAGACCAAAGCGGCCACUAGAACCAUUCUAGCAGCUGGUUACGAGGCCAUUCUCAUUGUGGUGUAUUCUCUGUGCUCCUUUCCUCUUUAUGUCAAAAAUUUCUGUUGAUAUUUUGAACAAGUGUGAGUGAAUGGUAGAACCUAGGUCUGUCUCUUGUCCAGAUGCAGGGGGAGCUGGGAAAAUGAGUAUCAGGGAUUUUCAGAUUUGGUAUUAAGAGAAGGGCUCUGCCUUACAGGAUAUGGGGGGUGGGAAUAUAAAAGAAAUGUUGAGUAUUCAAAAAAUGACCAAUAUUUACCAUUUAUAAAAACAGAUAUUUAGAAUCAGCUGACCAUUGGUUACAGAAACUCUUCUCCUUACCUCUUUUUUUUUUUUUUUUUUUACAAUUCUUUUCUAAAUCUCUCUUCCCUUUCCCAUCAUUGCUUUGGACAAGUUCCAAACUCCUAUGCCCAAACUUCUUAACCUUUUCUUCUAUGUUGAAUUGGUUUGGGAAAUUCAGUGUGACAGAUGUCAGAUGACGGGUCUAACAUUAUUUCAUUGCUUAGGAAGAUAUUUCAUUAUUAUUGCUAGGAAAAAAGUAUCACAAGAUAAAAAGGUAUUGAGAAACACGAGUUUUGAAAUCUGAAAGAACACGGUUUGUAUUCUGCCUUCAGGUCAGCAUUACAGUGACCACUGGCACAUUUUUUAUGUUGGAUCUCCAUUUCUCCAUUUGAUGACAAUAAAUUGAUGACCCUGAAGGAUAUUUGUGAGAAUUGGACGUAAUGUAUGUCAUGUAGUGUGGAACUAGGUAAAAAUGAGACCUAGUAUAAUCAUUUUUCUUUGGGGCAUCAAAAGACCAAUGAAACAAUAUUUUAAAUUUGAUUUUAUCAGGUUUUUAUCUGCAGGGCAAGAACAAAUAAAUGUCAAUUAUGUCGAAUGGUUCUUUUUUUUUUCUGGGUGACACAUGAUGGAAACUUUUUGGAUUAAAAAAAUUUGGGGGGGAUUAUGGACAUUGGGGAGGGUAUGUGCUUUGGUGAGUGCUGUGAAGUGUGUAAACCUGGUGAUUCACAGACCUGUACCCCUGGGGAUAAAAAUAUAUGUUUAUAAAAAAUAAAAAAUUAAAAAAAAUUUUUUGGGGGGGAUGCCUGGGUGGCUCAGUUGGUUAAGCGGCUGCCUUCGGCUCAGGUCAUGAUCCCAGCAUCCUGGGAUCGAGUCCCACGUCAGGCUCCUUGUUCAGGAGGGAGCCUGCUUCUCCCUCCGCCUCUGCCUGCCAUUCUGUCUGCCUAUGCUCGCUCUCCCUCUCUCUCUCUGACAAAUAAAUAAAUAAAAUCUUAAAAAAUUUUUUUUAAAG
ensembl:lincRNA